rnacentral:rRNA from 1 species
GUAACAUAUCGGAACGUGCCCAAUCGUGGGGGAUAACGUAGCGAAAGCUACGCUAAUACCGCAUACGAUCUAUGGAUGAAAGCGGGGGAUCGCAAGACCUCGCGCGAUUGGAGCGGCCGAUAUCAGAUUAGGUUGUUGGUGGGGUAAAAGCCCACCAAGCCGACGAUCUGUAGCUGGUCUGAGAGGACGACCAGCCACACUGGGACUGAGACACGGCCCAGACUCCUACGGGAGGCAGCAGUGGGGAAUUUUGGACAAUGGGCGCAAGCCUGAUCCAGCAAUGCCGCGUGCAGGAUGAAGGCCUUCGGGUUGUAAACUGCUUUUGUACGGAGCGAAACGGCUUUCUCUAAUACAGGAAGCUAAUGACGGUACCGUAAGAAUAAGCACCGGCUAACUACGUGCCAGCAGCCGCGGUAAUACGUAGGGUGCUAGCGUUAAUCGGAAUUACUGGGCGUAAAGCGUGCGCAGGCGGUUUUGUAAGACAGAUGUGAAAUCCCCGGGCUCAACCUGGGACCUGCAUUUGUGACUGCAAGGCUGGAGUACGGUAGAGGGGGAUGGAAUUCCGCGUGUAGCAGUGAAAUGCGUAGAUAUGCGGAGGAACACCGAUGGCGAAGGCAAUCCCCUGGACCUGUACUGACGCUCAUGCA